ACUCACCCACUUAGAACCUUCUGGAAGCCCUGACUGCCUUGCUGUAAGGUCGGCUGAAUGGAAAGAGACAAAGGCUGUUGGCCCUGAUAACAGAGGACAUGGAGAACACUGACGGGCCAGCACAGAGAGGUGUCAAACCUACAUUGCAGCCUGAAGGAUGUCUUCACUUCCUCCUGCUCCUUCGCCUUGUAUCCUUCAUAGAUUUUUCCCGCAAUAAAACUUUGCAUAUCUAA